GGCAAUGCGGUGGCAGCGAGCGCGGGAAUACGGAUGGGGUGAGGGUGGUCCGGAGUUACGGGGCGUAAAGCGCGUGCAGGUGGCUGAUUGCGCCCGGCGUGAAAGCCCCCGGGUUAACCGGGGAGGGGCGUGGGGGACGGGUGGGCUGGAGGGUCGCAGGGGCUGGUGGAAUUCCCGGUGUAGUGGUGAAAUGCGUAGAGAUCGGGAGGAACACCGGUGGCGAAGGCGGCCAGCUGGGCGAAACCUGACACUGAGGCGCGAAGGCGUGGGGAGCGAACGGGAUUAGAUACCCUAGUAGUC
rnacentral:rRNA from 1 species